AAACCUUAUACGCAUAUUAAAAAGACGAGAUUAAGGGGGGAUUAGAUGAUUCGCCACACUUUAUCAGGGGUUUGAUGAUUUGCCGUAGGUCGUUACUUAUAUAAUCCCAUCAGAAAGAUGAACAACGCUACAGACACCACAGAUAGCUGGAUGAACCCGUACGUGCUUCACUUGCAAACUAGUAAUAAUAAUCUAUAUUAGUACUACUUGGGUACUUAGGUUAGCUCCUCCUAGUGCGAGGCCUCCACUAACCUAAAUCAUUCCUUACUGUACGUCCACAUUUGCAUCAGAUGCAUGUCAAGGUCGCCUUCACUCAUCAGUUGCUGCCACACCGUCUGUCCGUCCGCCCCGAGCAGCAUCCAAGUCCAAGUGAAGAAGCCUGUCAGGCCCGGAACACCUUGGCCCGCACAGGGCCGCCGGGCGUGUACGCGGCGAUGUCCAUGGGCUCCGUGAGCAGCGGCAGCAGCUCGUCCUGAAUGCAGGUGUACAUCACCCCGCAGAGCCUCUCGAGGAUCUUGUCGAGGUUGACAACCUCCUGCUUCACCUUCACUAUCUCCUAGUCAGGCAGUCCUGAAUGCUAGAAUUGUAUUAACCGAAAACAUAAUACAUGUGUGAAUAUAUAGACAAACAUAGUGUCACUAGUAUGCCUCUACUUGACUAGCUCAUUGAUCAAAGAUGGUUGAGUUUCCUAGCUAUAGACAUGGGUUGUCAUUUGAUUAACGGGAUCACAUCAUUAGGAGAAUGAUGUGAUUGACUUGACCCAUUUCGUUAGCUUAGCACUUGAUCGUUUAGUUUACUGCUAUUUCUUUCUCCAUGACUUAUACAUGUUCCUAUGACUAUGAGAUUAUGCAACUCCCGAAUACCGGAGAAACACUUUGUGUGCUACCAAACGUCACAACGUAACUGGGUGAUUAUAAAGGUGCUCUACAGGUGUCUCCGAUGGUGUUCGUUGAGUUGGUAUAGAUCGAGAAUAGGAUUUGUCACUCCGAUUAUCGAAGAGGUAUCUCCGGGCUCUCUCGGUAAUGCACACACUAUAAGCCUUGCAAGCAAUGUGACUAAUGAGUUAGUUACGGGAUGAUGCACUACGAAACGAGUAAAGAGACUUUCCGGUAACGAGAUUGAGCUAGGUAUUGAGAUACCGACGAUCGAAUCUCGGGCAAGUAACAUACCGAGGACAAAGGGAACAACGUAUGUUGUUAUGCGGUUUGACCGAUAAAGAUCUUCGUAGAAUAUGUAGGAACCAAUAUGAGCAUCCAGGUUCCGCUAUUGGUUAUUGACCGGAGACGUGUCUCGGUCAUGUCUACAUAGUUCUCGAACCCGUAGGGUCCGCAUGCUUAACGUUCGAUGAUGAUCGGUAUUAUGAGUUUAUGUGUUUUGAUAUACCGAAGGUAGUUCGGAGUCCCGGAUAUGAUCACGGACAUGACGAGGAGUCUCGAAAUGGUCGAGACAUAAAGAUCGACAUAUUGAACGACUAUAUUUGGACAUCGGAAUGGUUCCGGGUGAGAUCGGGAAUAUACCGAAGCACCGGGAGGUUAUCGGAACCCCCCGGGAGGUAUAUGGGCCUUAUUGGGCCUUAGUGGAAAAGAGGGGAGAGGAGCAAAGGAGGGGGCGCCCCCCAAGCCCAAUCCGAAUUGGGAGGGGGGCCGACCCCCCUUUCCUUCCUCCCUCCUUCCCUUCCCUUCCCUCUCCUACUCCAACUUGGAAGGGGGGAAUCCUACUCCCGGUGGGAGUAGGACUCCCCUUGGGGCGCGCCUAGAGAGGGCCGACCCUCCCCCUCCUCCACUCCUUUAUAUACGGGGGAGGGGGCACCCCAUAGACACACAAGUUGAUCAUUGAUCUCUCUUAGCCGUCUGCGGUGCCCCCUUCCACCGUAAUCCACCUCGGUCAUAUCGUAGCGGUGCUUAGGCGAAGCCCUGCGUCGGUAACUUUAUCAUCACCGUCAUCACGCCGUCGUGCUGACGAAAUUCCCCCUUGAAGCUCUACUGGAUCGUGAGUUCGUGGGACGUCGCCGAGCUGAACGUGUGCAGUCCGUGGAGGUGCCGUAACUUCGGUGCUGGAUCGGUCGAUCGUGAAGACGUACGACUACAUCAACUGCGUUGUCAUAACGCUUCCGCUUACGGUCUGUGAGGGUACGUAGACAACACUCUCCUCUCUUGUUGCUAUGCAUCACCAUGAUCUUGCGCGUACGUAGGAAUUUUUUUGAAAUUACUACGUUCCCCAACAAUAAUGUGGUCCAUCCUUAUCCCCUCCCAAGUGCCCACCUGGGUGUAAUGUGACACAUGACUUGGAGAUCUGUACAUACUCGUUAGGGUGAUCAACAGAUCACUAUUACAAAAAAAAUAUUAUCAAUGCCAGAACCAAAAAUCACAUCGAGGACGACUGGACCACAGUCACUAACAACUCGUCACAUGAUGCUUGUCACUAGUAACAACGGUACCAAUGAAGGGCAGCCCAUGGGAGUUUGCCAAUGGAAGUUCGUCCAAGCCUAGACCAUUGGCCUUUAGCGGUGACGUGCUUUUUUGCCCAUCACUAGUACAUUUUGGGAUUUAAAAGAUACAAAAUAGUGAAACAUUACACAACUUAAUUAAGCACUCGAAUGAACCACACUUAAUUAUACAUAACUUGAACUCCAAUAUAAUCAAUAUAUCGCUCAAUGGAAACAUUUUUCUCAUAGAUUGCACAUACACAUAGCACAUAAACAUUACAUACAAUAAUUGAACACACACAUGCCACGUAAACAUUACAUACAACAAUUGAACACACACACAUUUUCUGCAUGUUAGGGAACAAAAUCAUUUAUCCAUGAACGACCUCCCAAGUCUUUGUAUAUAUACUCCUUUCUUUUCUUUUUACUCCACAUAUAAGAUUUAUCUGAAGUCAGACUUCAAAAAGUUUGACCAAAUAUAUAUUAAUAGAUAUCAACAUCUUCAAUAUUAGAGUUAUAUUAGCAAAUAUUAGUAUCACGAUGCAUCUAACGAUAUUAAUUUUGUAUAGUGACUGUUGACUUCAGACAAACCUUAUAAGCAGAUUAAAAAGACAAGAUUAAGGGGGGAUUAGAUGAUUCGCCACACUUUAUCAGGGGUUUGAUGAUUUGCCGUAGGCCGUUACUUAUAUCAUCCCAUCAGAAAGAUGAACGCCGCUUAGUGCAGACACCACAAAUAGCUGGAUGAACCCGUACGUGCUUCACUUGCAAACUAGUAAUAAUAAUCUAUAUUAGUACUACUUGGGUACUUAGGUUAGCUCCUCCUAGUGCGAGGCCUCCACUAACCUAAAUCAUUCCUUACUGUACGUUCACAUUUGCAUCAGAUGCAUGUCAAGGUCGCCUUCACUCAUCAGUUGCUGCCACACCGUCUGUCCGCGGCCCCGAGCAGCAUCCAAGUGAAGCCUGUCAAGCCCGGAACACCUUGGCCCGG
rnacentral:lncRNA from 1 species